CACUCCUGCGGGAGGCAGCAGUGGGGAAUAUUGGACAAUGGGCGCAAGCCUGAUCCAGCCAUGCCGCGUGAGUGAUGAAGGCCCUAGGGUUGUAAAGCUCUUUCACCGGUGAAGAUAAUGACGGUAACCGGAGAAGAAGCCCCGGCUAACUUCGUGCCAGCAGCCGCGGUAAUACGAAGGGGGCUAGCGUUGUUCGGAUUUACUGGGCGUAAAGCGCACGUAGGCGGACUAUUAAGUCAGGGGUGAAAUCCCGGGGCUCAACCCCGGAACUGCCUUUGAUACUGGUAGUCUUGAGUUCGAGAGAGGUGAGUGGAAUUCCGAGUGUAGAGGUGAAAUUCGUAGAUAUUCGGAGGAACACCAGUGGCGAAGGCGGCUCACUGGCUCGAUACUGACGCUGAGGUGCGAAAGCGUGGGGAGCAAACAGGAUUAGAUACCCCUGUAGUCCCAUG
rnacentral:rRNA from 1 species